GGUAGACCUCUUUUUAAAGCAGUUUAUUCUUUUUUGUCUCUCUGUUUGUUAUUGGUCUUUCAUCUUGGAUUUCUUCUCCUGUGCUUCCUGGACCACUGUAGAAGCAUCCUGCAUCCCCAACAAGUCACCAGGGUAGCUCAUUCAAGCUGCAGAUCCGUCUGUCAACCUUGUCCAACUGUCUCCUCCUCCAUUCCCUCUGCAGGGAAGUGCAUCAUAUGUCAGGUUCCAGAACAGAAAAUGCUGGUGGACGUCACUUGUUGCCCCCAAGAUCUUCGUUGGGAGUCCUCAGGACUUGAUGUCUUUAAUGAACUCGCCAGGAGGCAUAAUGUAUCACCAGUUUUAUUCUGGGCCACCCUAAUGGAUGACACCCAGCUUCAGAGACUUCCUCUUGGACAUCGUCCCUGUCAGCCAGUGUGUUAGCCAUCCCAUUGAGCUAGGCUUAGGAAAGGAUCAAAACUGGCACUCUGCAGCAGAGGCGGGCUAGACAGGAGAAGUGCAGACAGAAGCUGACAAACCCAUACCCCUUGUUGGGAAUUCAGCCCAUGGAAUGUUCUGUAGGACAAAAGGAAUGGCGGAGAUAUUUCAGUUACAUUUUGUUCUCGGUCAAAACCUUCUGAAAUAUAAAUCUGCUAUGUGCUGGAGAAUGGAGACAGCAGUUGAUUGAACUUGAAUGGCUUUCAUUUAACUAGAGGAUCCCACAGAAAGAGGUUCUGACAACCAUAUUUUUUUGCCUUUCUUUGACUUAAAGUAAAUCAAAUCCCUGUUUACAUAGCCGAGAGGAUUGUUUUAUGGACAAAGACACAGGUCAAAUCGCAUCACACUGCUGCAGCAGAUAGAGACAUUUCUAAAGUGAAAUACAGAUAUUUCUAAGCCCCAGCCGGAAUCCACAGCAAUGAUACGAGUGGGUAAUAUGAAACCAUUUGCAGUUAUAAUUCAGUGGUGGAUGUGCUUUUUUUGUGUGUAGAAAUCCUUUUUUUUUUUAAACAAAAUUCUAAUCUCUUGCCAACAUACAUUUUUAUUUGUAUUUCACCUAUUUGCAUAAUAUGUAUAAUCAUUGAAGUCAACUUUUUUUUCUGUAGCAGAUUAACUUUCUUUCCCCCUCAUAAUAACAUCUGGAAUUGUUUCCAAUUGUGGAAAUUUCAUAAUUAUCCACGAAUGUGACUUUUCCAUGUUGACCAAUCCCGCAGAGGGCUUGUAGCUAGUGCUCGUGGCUGACAGGGCUGCACAUUAGAAGUAAGAGCUCUGUACCAUGAGUUCCGAGGGGACCUCCAGUUUACAUCCUAGUAGAAUAUGCUGUAUUGUUCUAUGUUGGGUUUUUAAACCCCAGGUCUUGCUGGCAUUGAUCCGGGACUCAAUGCAAGUGUAAUUGCUGUUAUUAGCUAUCACUCCUGAAAGCUCUUUGUACUCCUUGGCCUGUGCACAGUUCCUGAGACUCUGAGGAUU
rnacentral:lncRNA from 1 species